UCUUCCCAGCAAUUCCUGCAUGGUGCUGUAUCUUUUCGCAGUCGAUAUAUAUGUAUUUCCAAAGAUGGUGAUAUCAUGAGAGGACUCCCCCUAUUUUGAGUUUCUCAACGCAGCAACUACUAUAUGCUGGUAGAUUCAAUAGUCUACUGUUUGAACAGGGGAAGGAAAAAGGAAAUAUUUGGACAGCGGCGCCAUCGGACCUCAAGCCGCAUUUGUUGCUUUACCGAGGCAAGCCCAGUGAAUUUUAUACUGGUAUCCUUGCAAGCUCACUCAAGUCCCGGCGCCUAUGCCAGGAGACUCUUGUGGACUUUGCGGACUGAACUUUCAUAUAUGGCCUUCUCGCAAUCGAACAACAACGGGAC
rnacentral:sRNA from 1 species